rfam:Plasmodium falciparum IGH-CR14 genomic scaffold supercont1.15, whole genome shotgun sequence.
UUUCAAUAUGAUGAUAAACAUUACCCAGCUCAUCUGAAGUAUAUAACCAUGAAGAUAUUUUUUCAUGCAUCACAAUCUGAUUGAAA